GCUCAGAUAGCUCAGUUAGUAGAGCAUGUGACUCUUAAUCUCAGGGUCGUGGGUUCAAGAUGACCCUUGUGGUCU